rnacentral:lncRNA from 1 species
UUCCAUCUCUUUUUGUACAUCAGCACAAACAGUCUCCAAGGCCUUUGGUGCCUCCACAGAAAAAACUUGUUUUGUUAUUUAAGACCUAGAAUUUAUGCCAAAUCCUAUGGUAUGAAGUAGAACAAAUUUUCCCUUCUAGGGACUUGAUGGUCAUGAAAACAUGCAGUGAGCAGUGAGCUGAGCCCCAGCUGCUGCGGAGAUCAAAGUGGAGAGGUCCUCUGGAUGGCACUGCCAGGCGAGAUGGGAGCUUUCCAGCCAUGCUGCCUGACAGAGAUGACCUUAUACACAGAGAGCUGUCUCAGCUGGUACUUCUUUAAAUGCGGGGGUGACACAGCAGAGCCACAAUUGCUGUUUGAAACUCGCCACCGCUUCUCCAAGGCAGUGCUAAGAGGAUGUGUGAAGUCAAUCCUAUUUUAACCUCAUCUGUGGACCUCUGACCGACCACGAAAUAGAAACACAGUGGUACCUGCCACUCCACCUGGGUUCUAGUGAGUGGAUUAUAAAACACAUUUCAGAACUCUAGCCUAUGGGUUGUUAGGUAUAGACUCAACUUUCAGAUGAACUACAUUCAGG